AAUUAACACAAAACGGUGUCGUUCUCUUUGUCCACUGCUUCAGUCUCCGGCUAACCGAUGGCGGUCUCUUCUUUCCGUGGCGCGCGGUUACCGCUUCUUCACCAAUCUCAGGUCUAUUCACUCUCCUCUCAGUGUCUGCUCUUUAACGGCUUAGCUACCAAAAUCGGCAAAACGCCUUUACUCUCUCUGCCGCUUCCUUUUUUGCAACUUCCCGUUGCGAGAGGAAGCUCUAAGAAGAUGAUCGGAGGAAGAAAGCCGAAUGCUUUUGUUUUCAUCUCGGCGCAGUAUUCGCAAACCCAAGACCUUUUCACUUCUCGCCUUCAAAGCCGGAUUGAGAACUUACCCAAGCUGGUGGAGGAUAUAGUUCAGACAUCGAUAAACACAGGUCCACGUGGGGCGUUACGACUUGUCCAAGGCGUCCAAGCCUUCGGAGGAGAGUGGCUAACUGAUAUCUCUAAGUAUACAAGAGUGUCUGGUGGUGGAUUACCAACUGAAAUGCAGCUUGGUCUACUCUCUCCUCUGUAUUUGAGGAAACUCUUUGAACGCAUGGGAGCUACUUACAUUAAGCUCGGCCAGUUUAUAGCAUCUGCGCCAACUUUGUUCCCACCAGAAUACGUGGAAGAGUUUCUGAACUGCUUCGACAAAGCACCUCCGGUACCUUUUGGAGAGAUUCGUAAAAUUUUGCAAGAGGAACUUGGGAGGCCCAUAGAAAGCGUAUACGAAUACGUUGACCCUACACCACUUGCAUCAGCCUCAAUAGCGCAAGUCCAUGGUGCAAAGCUUCGAGGCUCCCAAGAGGAUGUUGUGAUUAAGAUCUGAAGCCUGGAAUAGAAGAUUUCCUGGUGGCGGAUUUGAACUUUAUCUACGUCGUUGCCCUUAUAUUUGAGUUCCUUAGUCCUGAGUUCAGCCGUACUUCCCUGGUUGGUAUUGUCAAGGACAUCCGUGAGUCAAUGCUUGAAGAAGUAGAUUUCAACAAAGAGGCUCAAAACAUUGAAUCGUUUAAAAGAUAUCUUGAAUCCAUGGGGUUGUCAGGACAAGCCACUGCUCCGAGAGUGUAUAAGCACUGCAGCAGCCGGCGGGUGCUUACGAUGGAGAGGCUAUAUGGUGUUCCUCUUACUGAUCUAGAUUCCAUAAGAUCACUUGUUUCCAGUCUGGAAAACAGCCUUAUCACGGCUCUUAAUGUGUGGUUUGGAAGUUUACUUUCUUGUGAAAGUUUCCAUGCUGAUGUACAUGCAGGGAACUCUCUUGCGUGAUGGCCGGAUUGGUUUUCUUGAUUUUGGCAUUGUUGGUCGGAUAUCACCCAAAACAUGGGAUGCUAUGGAAGUGUUUUUAGCGUCCAUUGCAACCGAAGAAUAUGAAUCAAUGGCCUCGGCUUUGAUACAAAUGGGCGCCACAAAUAGAGAUGUUGACGCCAAAGCUUUUGCAAGAGACUUGGAAACGAUGUUCUCUUCUAUGCAGGAACUAGAUACAGAGAUAGUAGUGGCUACAGCUCGCGGACCAAACUCAGACAGAACUGCUGUUGCUGCUAAUGUAGUUAUGGACGAGAGGCAGAUGAAUGCUCUUUUCCUCGACUUGGUGCGGGUUAGCGAAUCAUAUGGGCUGAAGUUCCCAAGAGAGUUUGCACUUCUAAUGAAGCAGCUUCUGUAUUUCGAUCGGUACACGAGACUAUUAGCCCCCAACAUGAACAUGUUGCAGGAUCAGCGGAUCUCUGUCGUGUCCAACAACAGGAGGAUGAAUCGAUACAAGGACAGCUUCAACUAAGUUCAUACUCAUAUACUCCCACUUACAAGUGGUAAAAGUUAAUAGUAGAUUGAUAAAAAAAAACUAGGAACGAUGAUGAAUAUCAAUAUUGUUACAAACAUAACGAAUGCUACAUGAAUAUAUACAACAGGUAUCCUUUUUUU